GGGGGACUUUAACGAGACUUUAUACCAUUUUGAGAAGAAAGGAGGCAACUUGAAAGCUGACUCGAGACUCUGUGCUUUCAGGGACGUGGUUGACAGUUGUGGCCUUCAGGAUUUGGGGUUUUCGAGCGAUCCGUUCACCUGGUCUAAUAAUCAGAGAGGAGAAGAUCACAUUACUGAAAGGCUGGACCGUUUCUUCGGCAAUGAAGCAUGGAUUGAGUGCUUUCCGGGCUAUGUUGUCACGCAUCUUACUAGAAAAUCAAGCGACCAUAGUCCGGUCCUUUUAUCCCUUGAUCGUGAUGAAGAGGAGGUUCGACCUCGUUCAAAGCCGUUCCGCUUCGAAGCAAUGUGGCUAAAGGAUGAGAGAUGCAAGCCUUUUUGCAAUAACUUAUGGCAACAAGGGGGCCUUUUGGAAUCGGCUACUGAUUUCAAGCAAAAACUAGAGGAUAUGGGGGUUGAGCUCAAGCAAUGGGAAAAGAGGGAAUUUGGACACAUCAGAAAGAGGUGCAAAGAACUCAGAGAAGAGCUAGGGGAUCUCCAAAAACCUUCUAACGAUCCUUAUACAAAAGAUAAGCAGAGAUUGGUGGAAGCUGAACUAGAUGAUCUGCUUUCAAAGGAAGAGAUUAUGUGGAAACAAAGAUCCAGAGCGGACUGGCUGGUUGAUGGGGAUAGAAAUACAGGGUUUUUUCAUCGAGUAGCAGAAGGCAGGAAAAAACGCAAUCAUAUACGUGAGAUUCAGAGAGGGGAUGGCUCGACUACCAGAAAACAUGAGGAGAUGGAUAUCAUUUUUAGAACUCAUUUCCAGGAACUCUUCUCGGCUAGCCCUUAUCAGAAUCCCGAAGAGGUCAUCCACUCCAUCGAGCCCAUGGUGUCAGNCCGCCGGCACAAUGAAUUGCUUAAGUUGGAACUGUCGGGGGCUUGGGAACCAACCGACAGUUCGUCAGUUUGAUUGGCUAAUCAAACAAAAGAAGCCCGAAUUAGUGUUCAUUAUGGAAUCUAAACUCAUGGAGACGGAAUGGACACCAAUUCUUCAGAAAAAUGGUUUUGAGAAUUUUUUGUGAUUGAUUGUGAUAAUGAUGAUGGAGGCAGGAAAGGCGGUCUGGGACUUCUCUGGACUAGUGAGCUACGAGUGACUAUCAAAUCUUCUUCACGGCAUCAUAUUUUAGCUUCGGUGGAUAAUCAGUGCAACUCUAUAUGGGAUUUCUGUGGUGUGUACGGGUGGAGCAGAACAGAGGAUCACCAUCAUACUUGGGACUUAUUGCGCAAGAUUAGAUUGGAAGUAGGGGAUAAGUGGUUGUGUGGGGGGGACUUUAACGAGACUUAUACCAUUUGAGAAGAAAGGAGGCAACUUGAAAGCUGACUCGAGACUCUGUGCUUUCAGGGACGUGGUUGACAGUUGUGGCCUUCAGGAUUUGGGGUUUUCGGGCGAUCCUUUCACCUGGUCUAAUAAUCAGAGAGGAGAAGACCAUAUUACUGAAAGGCUGGACCGUUUCUUCGGCAAUGAAGCAUGGAUUGAGUGCUUUCCGGGCUAUUUUGUCACGCAUCUUACCAGAAAAUCAAGCGACCAUUGUCCGGUCCUUUUAUCCUUUGAUCGUGAUGAAGAGGAUGUUUGACCUCGUCCCAAGCCGUUCCGCUUCGAAGCAAUGUGGCUCAAGGAUGAGAGAUGCAAGCCUUUUUGCAAUAACUUAUGGCAGCAAGGGGGCCUUUUGGAGUCGGCUACUGAUUUCAAGCAAAAAAUAGAGGAUAUGGGGGUUGAGCUCAAGCAAUGGGAAAAGAUGGAAUUUGGACACAUCAGAAAGAGGUGCAGAAAACUCAGAGAAGAGUUAGGGGAUCUCCAAAAACCUUCUAACGAUCCUUAUACAAAAGAUAAGCAGAGAUUGGUGGAAGCUGAACUGGAUGACCUGCUUUCAAAGGAAG
rnacentral:lncRNA from 1 species